CCAUUCAUAGAAUCACUAAGGUUGGAAAAGACCACUGAAAUCAUCAGGUCCAGCCAUCAACCCCUCACCACCAUCAUCCUGCAAACUGCAGCUGCUUGUUUCUGGAGGAGUGAAGGAAAGAAGAGAGCACACAGCCACAUCUCAGACAUGUACAGCAGCCUCUCUGGGGCAGGAGGGACCAGGGAACAGACCUCAGUGAUGGCUGCCUCUCCCACAAGCAGGAUGGGGUGCUCUUGCUUCUACAGCAAUACGUGGAAGGUUUUGUUUGUUUAAUUCUCCUGUGAGGCUGUUAUACGGUAUGUCCAGGAAAAUAUCUUUUUUUUUUUUCCUCUUUGGUUUGAAUCCGUUG
rnacentral:lncRNA from 1 species